rnacentral:rRNA from 1 species
GUGGGGAAUCUUGCGCAAUGGGCGAAAGCCUGACGCAGCCAUGCCGCGUGAAUGAUGAAGGUCUUAGGAUUGUAAAAUUCUUUCACCGGGGACGAUAAUGACGGUACCCGGAGAAGAAGCUCCGGCUAACUUCGUGCCAGCAGCCGCGGUAAUACGAAGGGGGCUAGCGUUGCUCGGAAUUACUGGGCGUAAAGGGCGCGUAGGCGGACAGCUUAGUCAGAGGUGAAAGCCCAGGGCUCAACCUUGGAAUUGCCUUUGAUACUGGCUGUCUUGAGUUUGGGAUAGGUGAGUGGAACUCCGAGUGUAGAGGUGAAAUUCGUAGAUAUUCGGAAGAACACCAGUGGCGAAGGCGACUCACUGGCCCAAUACUGACGCUGAGGCGCGAAAGCGUGGGGAGCAAACAGGAUUAGAAACCCCAGUAGUCC